rnacentral:rRNA from 1 species
GAUGAACGCUGGCGGCGUGCCUAAUACAUGCAAGUCGAGCGAACAGACGAGGAGCUUGCUCCUUCGACGUUAGCGGCGGACGGGUGAGUAACACGUAGGUAACCUACCUAUAAGACUGGGAUAACUUCGGGAAACCGGAGCUAAUACCGGAUAAUAUUUCGAACCGCAUGGUUCGAUAGUGAAAGAUGGCUUUGCUAUCACUUAUAGAUGGACCUGCGCCGUAUUAGCUAGUUGGUAAGGUAACGGCUUACCAAGGCAACGAUACGUAGCCGACCUGAGAGGGUGAUCGGCCACACUGGAACUGAGACACGGUCCAGACUCCUACGGGAGGCAGCAGUAGGGAAUCUUCCGCAAUGGGCGAAAGCCUGACGGAGCAACGCCGCGUGAGUGAUGAAGGUCUUCGGAGCGUAAAACUCUGUUAUUAGGGAAGAACAAACGUGUAAGUAACUGUGCACGUCUUGACGGUACCUAAUCAGAAAGCCACGGCUAACUACGUG